rnacentral:rRNA from 1 species
GCUAACUACGUGCCAGCAGCCGCGGUAAUACGUAGGGUGCGAGCGUUAAUCGGAAUUACUGGGCGUAAAGCGUGCGCAGGCGGUUUGGUAAGUCAGAUGUGAAAUCCCCGGGCUCAACCUGGGAACUGCAUUUGAGACUGCCAAGCUGGAGUUUGGCAGGAGGGGGUGGAAUUCCACGUGUAGCAGUGAAAUGCGUAGAGAUGUGGAGGAACACCGAUGGCGAAGGCAGCCCCCUGGGCCAAUACUGACGCUCAUGCACGAAAGCGUGGGGAGCAAACAGGAUUAGAUACCCUGGUAGUCCACGCCCUAAACGAUGUCAACUAGGUGUUGGGAGGGUUUAAACCUUUUAGUGCCGUAGCUAACGCGUGAAGUUGACCGCCUGGGGGAGUACGGCCGCAAGG